CAAAUAUUCCCCCCGUCUCAAAAUUCUUGUCUUAGAUUUGUCUAUAUAUGAAUGUAUCUAGUCAUCUUUUGGUAUUUUGAUACAUCCAUUUUUAGACAAAUUUAAGACAAGAAUUUUGAGACGGAGGGAGUAUCAU
rfam:Hordeum vulgare subsp. vulgare, WGS project CAJW01000000 data, contig: morex_contig_1608731